rnacentral:SRP_RNA from 1 species
GCCGGGCAUGGUGGUGUGUGCCUGUAGUCCCAGCUACUGGGGAGGCUGAGGCAGGAGAAUACCUUGAACCCAGGAGGUGGAUGUUGCAGUGAGCCAAGAUCACGCCACUGCACUCCAACCUGGGUGACAGAGGGAGACUCUGUCUCAA